CUGGAGGUUUUGAUCCACAGCAAUUUAAAAGGAGGACAGAGCAAAACGGACAUCGGCGCAGAGUGAAGAACUGCCCUUGAUAAGGACACUAUGACAGCCAUAUAUAUGGCGGUAAGGAAGGGGUUUCCCAGCGUGUCCAGAAGGGCUUUGAGGAUUGCCGUGAAAGCUGGGGGAACUGAGACUGCUGGAAAAGGAAAAGAAAUUACAUUUUAAGUAUGCUGACUUAUGUUCAU